rnacentral:ribozyme from 13 species
CUUUUUCUUUUUCAAAACAAUCUUCCUCUCUCUCUCCCUCUCCCUCUUUCUCUCUCUUUGUGAUUGUUCAACAACAGAAUCAGCACAACGAGAGAGAAAUUGCAAUAAAGAAAGCAAAGAGUCCAAAGCAAUUGAAU